AAGAAAGAAAGGAGAACGAAAAAACUUAUGAAGACUUCGUAUCUAAGAGGGACAUAAUCCGAAGAUCACAAAGAUCACAAUCCAAAAUCAAAUGGAAGACGAAGAAAAGGCUAAUGCACUAUAAUCGUAUAAAAGCUGAUGAAUACUCGGCGGAUUUGACCCUUGUCAGCAUCAUGAAUGAUUCAGUUAGCGAACUUUGGUUGACGGGUCGUUACUGUGUAAUGGAAAAUUCAAUCAAACACCGUUUGACGUAACCAAUGCACCGUGACAUAAAGCUCGGCUUUAGUUUACAAACCGGAUCGAGAGAUGGGAGUAUUCGUUGUGGGC